UUUGAUCCUGGCUCAGAUUGAACGCUGGCGGCAGGCCUAACACAUGCAAGUCGAGCGGUAGCACAGAGAGCUUGCUCUCGGGUGACGAGCGGCGGACGGGUGAGUAAUGUCUGGGAAACUGCCUGAUGGAGGGGGAUAACUACUGGAAACGGUAGCUAAUACCGCAUAACGUCGCAAGACCAAAGUGGGGGACCUUCGGGCCUCAUGCCAUCAGAUGUGCCCAGAUGGGAUUAGCUAGUAGGUGGGGUAAUGGCUCACCUAGGCGACGAUCCCUAGCUGGUCUGAGAGGAUGACCAGCCACACUGGAACUGAGACACGGUCCAGACUCCUACGGGAGGCAGCAGUGGGGAAUAUUGCACAAUGGGCGCAAGCCUGAUGCAGCCAUGCCGCGUGUAUGAAGAAGGCCUUCGGGUUGUAAAGUACUUUCAGCGAGGAGGAAGGCAUUAAGGUUAAUAACCUUGGUGAUUGACGUUACUCGCAGAAGAAGCACCGGCUAACUCCGUGCCAGCAGCCGCGGUAAUACGGAGGGUGCAAGCGUUAAUCGGAAUUACUGGGCGUAAAGCGCACGCAGGCGGUCUGUCAAGUCGGAUGUGAAAUCCCCGGGCUCAACCUGGGAACUGCAUUCGAAACUGGCAGGCUAGAGUCUUGUAGAGGGGGGUAGAAUUCCAGGUGUAGCGGUGAAAUGCGUAGAGAUCUGGAGGAAUACCGGUGGCGAAGGCGGCCCCCUGGACAAAGACUGACGCUCAGGUGCGAAAGCGUGGGGAGCAAACAGGAUUAGAUACCCUGGUAGUCCACGCCGUAAACGAUGUCGACUUGGAGGUUGUGCCCUUGAGGCGUGGCUUCCGGAGCUAACGCGUUAAGUCGACCGCCUGGGGAGUACGGCCGCAAGGUUAAAACUCAAAUGAAUUGACGGGGGCCCGCACAAGCGGUGGAGCAUGUGGUUUAAUUCGAUGCAACGCGAAGAACCUUACCUACUCUUGACAUCCAGAGAACUUAGCAGAGAUGCUUUGGUGCCUUCGGGAACUCUGAGACAGGUGCUGCAUGGCUGUCGUCAGCUCGUGUUGUGAAAUGUUGGGUUAAGUCCCGCAACGAGCGCAACCCUUAUCCUUUGUUGCCAGCGGUCCGGCCGGGAACUCAAAGGAGACUGCCAGUGAUAAACUGGAGGAAGGUGGGGAUGACGUCAAGUCAUCAUGGCCCUUACGAGUAGGGCUACACACGUGCUACAAUGGCAUAUACAAAGAGAAGCGACCUCGCGAGAGCAAGCGGACCUCAUAAAGUAUGUCGUAGUCCGGAUUGGAGUCUGCAACUCGACUCCAUGAAGUCGGAAUCGCUAGUAAUCGUAGAUCAGAAUGCUACGGUGAAUACGUUCCCGGGCCUUGUACACACCGCCCGUCACACCAUGGGAGUGGGUUGCAAAAGAAGUAGGUAGCUUAACCUUCGGGAGGGCGCUUACCACUUUGUGAUUCAUGACUGGGGUGAAGUCGUAACAAGG
rnacentral:rRNA from 2 species